rnacentral:sRNA from 1 species
UGCUGAAGUUCAUAGGCGACGGUAACCAC